rnacentral:rRNA from 1 species
UACGUAGGGGGCUAGCGUUGUCCGGAAUCAUUGGGCGUAAAGAGCGUGUAGGCGGCCCGGUAAGUCCGCUGUGAAAGUCGGGGGCUCAACCCUCGAAUGCCGGUGGAUACUGUCGGGCUAGGGUGCGGAAGAGGCGAGUGGAAUUCCUGGUGUAGCGGUGAAAUGCGCAGAUAUCAGGAGGAACACCAAUUGCGAAGGCAGCUCGCUGGGACGUAACUGACGCUGAGACGCGAAAGCGUGGGGAGCAAACAGG